AUAAGCAGCUUUGAGUCCAGCAUAAAACUCUACCUACCUAUUAGUUUUUGGAAAGUUAUUCGAAAACUCUGGUAUUCAUUUUCUCCCUCUAUAAAAUAUUAUAAUACAUGUAAUAUUUUUGAAAGAUGGCAUAGUGCUUAUAAGGAAGGGCUCUUAGAUUGGACAGGCUGAUUGUGAAUUUUGGCUCCAACUCUUGAGAGGAUUCACAUCUCACAGUCUAUGUGCCCUCAAUCUUCUGCAGUGGUCCUGUGCAAGAAAGCUGUAGCAUCGUAACCAGAUUCCACAACAGCUAUAGAAGGUGAUCCAGUUAUCAUCACUUUAUAAGGUGGUUUGACCUGGAUGUAUGCCUUCUUUCUUUCUGGGAAGAGACAGCCCUGCUCUACAAAUGAGGAGGGAAAUGAGGCCCAGUCCAAGUGUUUCACUCCUCCCCAGAAGAUUGUUACUACCCAAAGCUAGUUUAUAUUAUUAUCUUAAAUGUCCAGAAAAGACAACUUUAUAAGACAGAAAGUAAAUUAGUGGAUUCCUGGGAUUGGGAGGGGGAACAAGGAUGAACUGUACAUAGACAGAGAUGUUAUUGGGAGAAUAAAAAUGUACUAAAACUAAUUUAUGAUGGUGGUUGUACCACUUGGUAAAAUUAUUAAACACACUGAAUUGUUAACUUGAAAUGGGUAACUUUUACUACAUGUAAGAUAUAAAAUUAUAAUUCAACAUAUCAGUCUUAUAAAUCACAAACUUUCUUAUUAAAACCUUUUUAUCUUAAGAUAAUACAGUCCAACUACAGGAUUAUAUACUCCAUACUUUUAUAGUAUGAGUCAUAUUCUUAGGUUAAUUGUAAGUUUUAUAAAAUUGAAACUACAUUCAAUGAAAACUGCCCGUCCCACCCCAAAUAAACAAUGAUAAAACUACAGCAAUUUGAAAAACAGGAAAAUAGGUAAUUUUGAGUAGAGCUAUAAAAGUUAGGUACACAAAACAUCCAACAUUCAAACCAUAGCAAUGAGAGAUGUUUGAUAUAUCAUGAUAUACAAUGUAUUGAAGAAGUGGUCCAGAAUUUUUCCAAAUGCAGUACAUAAAGCAUAAAUUUGAAUCCUGUUUGGCUUUGUUGAUCAUAAAUUGGAUUGGUUAAGUAAUUAAAUUUUGGGUUUUGAAGGUCAAAGACAUUGUUUCCCUGGCAUGUUUUACUUGUACUAUUCUAUAUAUAUUUAAUAAUAAUAUAUUAUUGGGUCAAAUGCUUAAAGUAAUUCAAUUAUAGUAAAUGAUAAUACUCAACUAGGGGAGUCAUUAAUCACUUUAAUCUACAUCGUGCAGGCAUAGGAUUCUUUUUAGGGCAUAGACUUUGUAAUGAUUUAGUUUUAGGCAAUAAUGUCCAAAUAUAUUUAGUUUUAAUAAUUCAUGAUAUUGAACAACUUUAAUCAGAUCUACAAUAAAUUUAUUAGCUGGAAAAUAUAGCAUAGAUUCACAUAUUUUAAUUUGAGAUUGUAAAGCUUAUGAUAUGUUAAGUAUUUGGAAUGAAUUAAUUUUUCAUUCCGUUAGAAUUUGUAGGUCUCAGGAGAGCUGUCGGGAUGCCCUGCUCUCUGUUACUUCUCUAUUCAUCUUUGGCAGCAAAAAACCUUUUUAUAGCACUAGGAAUUCUUUUCCCUACUCACCUGCUUGUGAUAUCAUCCUCUUUAUUAUUAUGAUUAUUAUUUUUUGUUAGAGCCACUCCAGAGUAUUGGCUUCAGGUUAUUUUCCUGUUGUCCCUGUUUCUCAGAGAGGUUUGAAGUAGGCAUAGGCACCUCAUUUCCUGGGCCUUUCAAUGACCUUCCUAACUGUCUUUAGGGUCAAGGAGGGAGUAGGGGCAGGAUCACCUGCAUUAAAUGUCUGCAUCUACUUGGGCUCUCUUGUUUUGCCUUUCAGCGCUAAAUGUUUGAGCGAAACUAGAGUUUGGGGAUAUAAUAAGUUGCAUGGGUACAUACAUGCACAGGGAAAGAUAUUUAUUUGUGAUUACUUUCAUAGCGUUUUUGUGAUUGCUGGGUGCCUUUGGGAUCCCCUGUUCUUUUAUUCUUUGCUUAGCCAUCUCUAGGCUUCUAGUGGAUUUUAAAUAAAUCUUCAUCGUAGGCAUAGUUAUCACCAACCAAGUGUGUUGGAGGGUAUGAUCGCUCAAUAAAAAAUGAAGAGAUUCUUUUUAUAUGGGCAAUUAAAAAAUAAAUCAACUUGAGAUACUGGAUCAGGAAUAUUUACAAAUAUUUGCUUGGAGCAUUCUGAAUCUGACAGCCAUAUUUGCUGAGACAUAUUAGGAAAAUAUUGGUUAUUUGGAGGUCUUCAAAAUAUAGUGUUUGAAGAAAAUUCUUACAGCCUGGAAAGCCAAAAACUAAAAAUUAAAGGUCAGUUGAAAUUUUUAAACACCCAGUUUAAAAAAUCUUGUCUUUAGGAAAGAAACUGUGGAAAGUAGAAACAGAGGUGGGAACUAGAAAUAGAAGAAUUAGUAAUAGCAUAGUGAAGUCAAAUUUGGGGAUGUUUUGAUAAAGUACUUAUACAAAUUUGGGAACUUAUAUAAAGUACAGGCAGCAUAGCAAAACAUGAAGAAAGGAGAUCUAGGUCUUGUAUAAUGGUUGCUGAGGAUAUUUGGACCCUCAGAGUAGAAAGGAUACCCAAGGGCAGAGAAUAAGAAGCAAGAGUUGAAAAGAGACUUUAGAAAAUGGAAAAGGAAGCCAAGACUUUGGAGGUAGAUCUUAGAAGCAUUUUAAAAACAGGUCCAAUUCAGCAAUCUGGGAGUCAAGUGUAAGAACCAGGAAGGAGUCUUCUGUACCAAUCAGGAGCUAGAGGCAGAAGGAAUUUUCCAAGAAGGCAGGAAUGACAGCAGUCUGGGUGACAGAAAUUUGUACUAAAAAAUAAGUGCAUGGCACACAAAAAGGAGAGGAAGCAAUGGGAAGUCUGAGGAGCUCCCUCUUGUGUUUCUUUUUUAGAUGAUUGCUUCUCAUUAUUGUAAAGUGUCUUUUUCAGAGAAAAGAGCAAAAGCUGUGUCUCUUAAAUGAGUUGAUGUAAUUCAGAAUUGAGGUGCAAGAACGUGAGUCAAGGGGAUCAUGGAGAGAAUCUCAGACACACUGGAACAUGAAGCUGUGAGUGUCAGUGCUCAGAGUAUUUUAUUCACAAAGGAAAAAGGACUUAUAGCCCAAGUAUCAAGAAAGAGCUGAAAACGUAUUUUGAAACAUUGGUAAUCUUUAUCUUCCUUUCACAUCCUUUUAGUAGAGAGAAUGAGGAUAUUACAAAAGGGGUUGGAGGUUUUUGCUCCAUUUUGCUUUGUUGAAGUAUCACAAAGUAUUAAAUAAAAUACUAUAUAAUGUACUCUAGCAUUUCUCCACAUUUGUUUAUCAAAUAAAGCAACCUAAAUCCCAGUGCCUGACACAAGACAAGCAAACAAAAGUUUACAUGUUAAAACCUUU